rnacentral:rRNA from 1 species
CCUACGGGAGGCAGCAGUGAGGAAUAUUGGUCAAUGGCCGGAAGGCUGAACCAGCCAUGCCGCGUGAAGGUCAGUGCCCUAUGGGCGUUAAACUUCUUUUGUGCGGGAGCAAUAAUGGUCACGUGUGGCCAGACGAGAGUACCGUACGAAUAAGCAUCGGCUAACUCCGUGCCAGCAGCCGCGGUAAUACGGGGGAUGCAAGCGUUAUCCGGAUUUAUUGGGUUUAAAGGGUGCGUAGGCUGUGAGGUAAGUCAGCGGUGAAAUGCCCCCGCUCAACGGGGUGAAGUGCCAUUGAUACUGCCUGGCUGGAAUGCGGAUGCCGUGGGAGGAAUGUGUGGUGUAGCGGUGAAAUGCAUAGAUAUCACACAGAACACCGAGUGCGAAGACAUCUCACGAAUCCGCGAUUGACGCUGAUGCACGAAAGCGUGGGUAUCAAACAGGAUUAGAUACCCCAGUAGUC